AAUGAUCCAAUGGUCCAAGUUCAAACGGUGAAACGCACCAUUUCACUAAUGCGUUGGCAUGCCACUCAGCGUUCAAACAAUACGCGUGGCCUUGGUCAAUGCAUCGUAUCCAAUCAACUUGCCACGCCACAACACACAUGGAUAACACAUUAGCAUAAAACCCUAACACGCAGACGCCGGAGCUACAGUCUCCGGUCGUCUUCUCCGGCGAGCCCUACGGUGGCUCCGCCGUGAGAUUUUGAAGAAAUCAACAAAUCA
rnacentral:lncRNA from 1 species